ACUCCUACGGGAGGCAGCAGUGGGGAAUAUUGCACAAUGGGGAAACCCUGAUGCAGCCAUGCCGCGUGUGUGAAGAAGGCCUUCGGUUGUAAAGCACUUUCAGUAGGGAGGAAGGUAGUGUAGUUAACACCUGCACUAUUUGACGUUACCUACAGAAGAAGCACCGGCUAACUCCGUGCCAGCAGCCGCGGUAAUACGGAGGGGUGCGAGCGUUAAUCGGAAUUACUGGGCGUAAAGCGCAUGCAGGCGGCCUGUUAAGUCAGAUGUGAAAGCCCGGGGGCUUAACCUCGGAAUUGCAUUUGAAACUGGCAGGCUAGAGUCUUGUAGAGGGGGUAGAAUUUCAGGUGUAGCGGUGAAAUGCGUAGAGAUCUGAAGGAAUACCAGUGGCGAAGGCGGCCCCCUGGACAAAGACUGACGCUCAGAUGCGAAAGCGUGGGGAGGCAAACAGGAUUAGAUACCCUGGUAGCACAGAG
rnacentral:rRNA from 1 species